AUACGUAGGGUGCAAGCGUUAAUCGGAAUUACUGGGCGUAAAGCGUGCGCAGGCGGUUUUGUAAGACAGUGGUGAAAUCCCCGGGCUCAACCUGGGAACUGCCAUUGUGACUGCAAGGCUGGAGUGCGGCAGAGGGGGAUGGAAUUCCGCGUGUAGCCGUGAAAUGCGUAGAUAUGCGGAGGAACACCGAUGGCGAAGGCAAUCCCCUGGGCCUGCACUGACGCUCAUGCACGAAAGCGUGGGGAGCAAACAGGAUUAGAUACCCUGGUAGUCCACGCCCUAAACGAUGUCAACUGGUUGUUGGGGAUUUAGUUUCUCAGUAACGAAGCUAACGCGUGAAGUUGACCGCCUGGGGAGUACGGCCGCAAGGUUAAAACUCAAAGGAAUUGACGGGG
rnacentral:rRNA from 1 species